AACUUUUGGACUGUACUGUAUAUUUUUUAAUAUGUAUAUUAUUCUUUCCACCUCUGCUUUAGCUUGGUUCCUUGUAAUAUACCUUGCAUUUUAUACUAAAUAUUGUUGACUCUGAGACAAAUUGCAUGUUAUGUUCGUAGAUCCUUCCAUGUGGAUGGCCUCCUACACCCCAGCAGAGCUGAGCAACCUCCUGUCAAAGGCCAUGAACCAGAUGACUAUAGUUGUUUCAGUGAGAUUGUCCUUGAAAGGCCUGUAGGCUAAAUAAUCAGCUAAAUGAGGUCUGUUUUGAGUUAUGUUUGCUAGUGAACAGACGCCAGAUUUU